rnacentral:misc_RNA from 1 species
GGAAGUCAAGGCUCAGCGCACAGCAACAUCCGCACAAGCGGUAUCCUUUACCAUCUUUGUGGUUCCGCUCCACCUCCUUCACAGGUGUACACGAUAAUAUCGGCGUUUUUCUUCUCUGUUGCCCUCCUCUCUCUCUUGCUCCCGUUGUGCCAUUUCGAUACGCGCAAGAGUCGCUGUUUCGUGCCUUACAUCUUGCGUUGGUCUCGCCCCGAUUGCUCGUGGCGUUUUCUCUUCAUCGUUUUUCCGUCUCCGUACGUUGCCGUGUUUCUCCUUACUUAUAUUGAGGUACGUUGUGCAUAUUCGCCCAUUUCCGCUUCCUUGUCAGACAGCGCGGCCAAGGUGAGGCUGGUCGGGUGCGCGGGCGGUCUCGUUUCGCCAUUGCCUCGUGCUUCUAAUACACCCUCUUUCCUCCUUCCGUGUUUCCAUAGCUCGUUUUUUUUUUUCGGGUACCGACCCCUUUUUUGUGAUCAGCACCAUGCAGGUCGGUGUAUAUGACAGAGAUGAUCAGAUGUGCCAGUAUGAGGGCUGCACAGAGAUCGAUCUACUGCCUGCCCGGUGCUCCAACUGCGACAAGCGAUUCUGCACCCACCAUCUUUCUCACAACGCACAUCACUGUCCGGCUGUGACGGAUGUGCGGGUCGGGACGUGCCCCAUAUGCUAUCGCGUUGUACCGUUGGAGUACCCGCGCCAACGCGUGGACGAGGCGGUGUCCCGGCACAUUGACCGGGGAUGUCGCGAUGUACCGCAGGGCAGCUUAUUUUACGGCGGCGCCGUGGCGAAGGGGCGGCCCGGUCAGGCGAGCGGUCGCCGCUUGGGCGGCCCGAUACGGCCGUGCAGCAUUCAAGGCUGCCACGAGGCCUCCGAGACGCGCGUGAAGUGUGACCAAUGCGGCCAGACAUUCUGCCUUCAGCACCGCGGACCUCUGCAGCACCACUGCCGCGCCGCCGCCGCCACGCGCAGCGCGGUCGCGUCCUCCCCUUCAGAUCGGGAUGCAGGCAUGCUGGUGUCUCUGCCGGGUGACAAGGCGGCUUCCGUGGCAUGCCUGCUCACUCAUCCCGCCAACACUCCCGAAAAGGCGGUGGGCAAGGCGACAGAGUUGCCCUCGGACAUGGUGACAUGCCUCGUGUGCUUCCUCAUACCCACCUCUGUGUUCAAAAAGGACUGCAACGCUGGCUGCGAAGAGUUCGAGCCGGUGCCCUCGUUCUUCAUGUUCAUGCCCAAGAAUACAGCACUAGGCCGUCUCCUGGACACUGCUGUGGAUCGUGCCGCCAUGAGCUCACCGGCCGUGCGCACGGGAAAACCCUGGAACUUGUUCGCCGUCACGCUACCUAUCCACGCCGAGGCCGAGGCAGCCUACUAUUCUCCUCUUCCACUCUCGACGGUGGUGAGAAAGAGUGUCGUCGGCAUGGCGGAGCGCACUAUUGUGUUUCUCUCGCCGCUCCAAGCCUUGCCCGAGAGCGUGAUUAAGGUGGUGAAGGACUUGGAUAGGAAAGGGUCGUGGCCGUCACCGUCAUUGUCCUCCAGUCAAGGUUGCCAAGUGAUGUGAUGAGGCGGGGAGAGAGAGGCAGAUGAAGGGGGAGGGAGAGUGACGGAUUGAGGGGAGCAUCGGAUGUGUGGGCUUGAAUAAGCCGUGACUGCCUCUCUCUCUCUCGUUCUCAUUGGCGUUGUACCCCCCUCCCCUCCCCGGCCACCCCCUCUCUCCCCUUUGCUAGUUUGUUUCUCCAUCCGCUGCCCCCUUUCGUUCUCUUCGUCGCUCGCAUGGUACUGCGCUUUCUUUCGUUUUUGUUUGUUUGGUACUCGUUGCACUUCUCUUUGUCGCUACGUCGCGCGUACUCUUCCACCGCGGCCGCCACCACCCCACCUUUCCCCCUCGUCCCUUCCUUCGCAGCCUCCAUCGCAAGCGUCGGUGAUGGGCAUACUGACUUGUCUCCCCUCUCCGUCUUUUCGCUGCUACUUUCCCCUCCCUCAUCUUGGGCAAGGGGAACGAUGCAGCUUCAUGGGGAAGGGACAUCGGAGUCCUCGGAGAAGCUCUCCUCCCUAUUUCAUUCGUCUGUGUUUUCUACUGGACACACCCACCCACACGGGGAAACAUACGCAUUCGAUCUUAUUGCACCUCUUCUUGUUAGUAGUUGACAGGGGGCGAGGCUCGUCAUGGGGGUGGGGGCUGAGUAGAGGAGGCGUGUCGUCCUCUUUCUUUCUCUGCUCUUUUGGUUUCUGUGCCGAAAACAAGGAGUGUCUUCCCUCCCUCCCCCUCCUCCGACUCCGCCUUCCCACUUCUUUCCGCGCUUCCCUUUCUCAGCUUGCUCCUCCAAACAAGCAACCAACUGCACUCAUGUCUGUUCGCAUGCGUCAGG